rnacentral:rRNA from 1 species
CAGUCGCCACGGUAAUACGUAGGUCCCGAGCGUUGUCCGGAUUUAUUGGGCGUAAAGCGAGCGCAGGCGGUUAGAUAAGUUUGAAGUUAAAGGCUGUGGCUUAACCAUAGUACGCUUUGGAAACUGUCUAACUUGAGUGCAAGAGGGGAGAGUGGAAUUCCAUGUGUAGCGGUGAAAUGCGUGGAUAUAUGGAGGAACACCGGUGGCGAAAGCGGCUCUCUGGCUUGUAACUGACGCUGAGGCUCGAAAGCGUGGGGAGCAAACAGGAUUAGAUACCCCGGUAGUCCCUGUCUCUUAUACA